AGCAGCCGCGGUAAUUCCAGCUCCAAUAGCGUAUAUUAAAGUUGUUGCAGUUAAAAAGCUCGUAGUUGAAUUUCGGGAUCAAUUAAUUGGUCGUGCCUAUGGUACGUACUGAUUUUAUUGGUUUCUCCCUUCUGACGAACCAUGAUGUCAUUAAUUUGGUGUCGUGGAGAAUCAGGACUGUUACUUUGAAAAAAUUAGAGUGUUUAAAGCAAGCUAACGCUUGAAUACAUUAGCAUGGAAUAAUGAAAUAGGACGUUUGAUCCUAUUUUGUUGGUUUCUAGGAUCGACGUAAUGAUUAAUAGGGAUAGUUGGGGGCAUUAGUAUUCAAUUGUCAGAGGUGAAAUUCUUGGAUUUAUUGAAGACUAACUACUGCGAAAGCAUUUGCCAAGGAUGUUUUCAUUAAUCAAGAACGAAAGUUAGGGGAUCGAAGACGAUCAGAUACCGUCGUAGUCUUAACCAUAAACUAUGCCGACUAGGGAUCGGAUGAUGUUAUUUUUAAUGACUCAUUCGGCGCCUUAAC
rnacentral:rRNA from 1 species